UUGAACAUGAGUGCUCUCUUUUUCUGUUGCUCUCAUGCGAUUCUACGAAGAAAUGUAGUUCUGAAAUGUGGAAAUACUAAUUUGUCGAUUAUGAUUAUUCUUUCGGGAGUUGAACUGAUUUAUGCGAAAUUCAUUAAAAAAUAUUAUCUAAGGUUUUCAAAUAGGAUCCUCUGCAGUCUGCACCUGUAGUAUUAUAGAUGAUCUGAACUUAUUAAAGUGGUUUAGAUUGAAUCGGUGGGUUAUGUCCUUUCUAAUCUAAAGAAAUAUUGGGUUUGUUCAAAUAUUCUUGUUUCAGAGAGAUUUUGGUACGAAUGAUAGCAAAAUUCAUGCUAAAUGCCAGCCAAAAGGGGCACAAAGACCCAUAUGAUUUGGUUGAUUAAUCUGACAAAUUAACAGCAACACCUGAGAGAGACUCUCCUGAUCUGAAUUGAACCUAACAAACAACUAAUCAGAAAUUACAAGAAAAAAACUGAUUAGACGUCCGUGGAUCGAUGGGGUUUCAGACGGCGAAGAACUCGAGGGCGUUGCGGAGGAGGCGGCCGGCGAAGGGGUUGGGGUGGUCGGGGUACGAGCAGCCGGAGCUGAAGAGCACCCAGUGGCGGCGGCNNN
rnacentral:lncRNA from 1 species